GUCCCAGUAGCACAGUGGCUCAGUGUGUCUGGCUGUUAACCAGAAGGUUGGUGGUUCAAGCCCACCCAGGGACA